UACGGAGGAUGCAAGCGUUAUCCGGAAUUAUUGGGCGUAAAGCGUCCGCAGGUGGCACUCCAAGUCUGCUGUCAAAGACCGGGGCUUAACCCUGGAAAGGCAGUGGAAACUGAAGCGCUAGAGUGUGGCAGGGGUAGAGGGAAUUCCCGGUGUAGCGGUGAAAUGCGUAGAGAUCGGGAAGAACAUCGGUGGCGAAAGCGCUCUACUGGGCCAUAACUGACACUCAGGGACGAAAGCUAGGGGAGCGAAUGGG
rnacentral:rRNA from 1 species